ensembl:snRNA U6 U6 spliceosomal RNA
GUGCUUGCUUCAGCAGCACUAUACUAACAUUAGAAUGAUACAGAGAAGAUUAGAAUGGCCCCUGCGCACAGAUGACAUACAAAUUCAUGAAUUGUUCCAUAUAUUU